rnacentral:rRNA from 1 species
AACACGUGAGUAACCUGCCCUUGACUCUGGGAUAAGCCUGGGAAACUGGGUCUAAUACCGGAUACGACCAUCUGGCGCAUGUCAUGGUGGUGGAAAGCUUUUGUGGUUUUGGAUGGACUCGCGGCCUAUCAGCUUGUUGGUGGGGUAAUGGCCUACCAAGGCGACGACGGGUAGCCGGCCUGAGAGGGUGACCGGCCACACUGGGACUGAGACACGGCCCAGACUCCUACGGGAGGCAGCAGUGGGGAAUAUUGCACAAUGGGCGCAAGCCUGAUGCAGCGACGCCGCGUGAGGGAUGACGGCCUUCGGGUUGUAAACCUCUUUCAGUAGGGAAGAAGCGAAAGUGACGGUACCUGCAGAAGAAGCGCCGGCUAACUACGUGCCAGCAGCCGCGGUAAUACGUAGGGCGCAAGCGUUAUCCGGAAUUAUUGGGCGUAAAGAGCUCGUAGGCGGUUUGUCGCGUCUGCUGUGAAAGACCGGGGCUCAACUCCGGUUCUGCAGUGGGUACGGGCAGACUAGAGUGCAGUAGGGGAGACUGGAAUUCCUGGUGUAGCGGUGAAAUGCGCAGAUAUCAGGAGGAACACCGAUGGCGAAGGCAGGUCUCUGGGCUGUAACUGACGCUGAGGAGCGAAAGCAUGGGGAGCGAACAGGAUUAGAUACCCUGGUAGUCCAUGCCGUAAACGUUGGGCACUAGGUG